UACGUAGGGUGCGAGCGUUGUCCGGAAUUAUUGGGCAUAAAGAGCUCGUAGGCGGUCUGUCGCGUCGAUCGUGAAAACUUGGGGCUUAACCCUGAGCUUGCGGUCGAUACGGGCAUGACUGGAGUUCGGCAGGGGAGACUGGAAUUCCUGGUGUAGCGGUGAAAUGCGCAGAUAUCAGGAGGAACACCGGUGGCGAAGGCGGGUCUCUGGGCCGAUACUGACGCUGAGGAGCGAAAGCGUGGGGAGCGAACAGG
rnacentral:rRNA from 1 species